ensembl:lncRNA
GAAGAACUAGAGUGAAGGACUGACCAGUUGGCAAAAUCUCCAGCAGAUUAAUGGAGACCAUCUGGAUGGAGGCGCUGCACUUAGGGGCCCGGUGGCGAGGGCCGGGCUCCCCAAAGGCCUGUGCCGUGCUGCCUUGCCCCCAGAGAAGACAGCAGUUCUGGCUGGAGUUCUAGUGUCCGAGAGCUGAGAGAGGGUGUGGUCUCGACCCGAGCGAGCACCCCUGCAGUUCCAGAUAUGGAAAGUCUGCUCACCACUGGCGGUUCUGGCCCAGAGGCACACAGCCCAUUACUCUCGAGCCAUGGCAGAAGCCAGGUGGAGCUCUGCCCAAGGUGACAACAACACCCUGGCUGGGGCGGUGAGUCCCUCUACUGCAGAGGUUCUCAGAGUGGCAUCCGACCAGCAGCAUCAACACCACUUCGGAACUUGCCAGAAAUGUGGAUUCUCGGCCCCACCUACACCCACUGAAUCAGAAACAGGCUGGGGUCCAUGAAACUGGUUUGAAGCACUCCCCAGAGGGCUGUGAUGCCGCCAGCGCGUGGGGACCACCGUGCUGGGGACGGGGCGCUGGGCAGCACAGGAGGGGCCUCUGUGGAUUGACCGGAACAAUUCACAAUACGGAAAAUGACUUUCUCCUUCUCAACUUCUUCCUCCGCCAGUUUUUCCCCUCCUUCUUUUCUGAAGCGUCUUCCUCUUACUUUCUCCCAGACAUGAGAUCAACCUUCACCAGAGGUGGUCCCAAGAUUCCCUGCUCUCUGGCUCACCUUGAAGAGUGGGAGCCUAUUUCCAACACCACUUCCCCCUCAUAAAGAAAGACCACGAGACUGACAAGUAUCUGAAGAGAGGUUCAAACCCUAUGAAUCCAAGAAACGUAAAUUUAAGCAAUUGAGAUAUGACUGCGCUCUUCAGAAUGGCCAUGCUCAGAAUGAGGGGACCACAAGGAGUGGCAAGGGCUUGUGAGGACAAGACCUCUUCCUAAUCGAGCGGAGUGUAAGCUGGUACGCUUAUUUUGGAAAGCAAUCUGGCAAAUUUAGUGUUACUUAUUUUCUUUAAUUAGUUUCAUUGGACACACCUCACACACUGCUUACUGUGUUUUAGACACUGUUCUAGGCAACUUACAAAUCCCAACUCAGGUAAUUAGUAACUUAGAUAGUUGAGGAUGUGUACGCUUUAUGAGCCAGUGAUCCUCUCCCAAGGGAUGGAUUCCGGAGCAGGUCUCCCACAGUCGAUAAAGGGACAUGUAUAGAGUGUGGCGUUGGUGGCAGAGGUGGUGGAGGACCCUUGGUGUCCAGCCGCGGGGGUUGGAAACUGUGGUGUGCAUCCCGUGGGAUGCUAUGCAGUGCUGGGAUCAUCUAACCAGACACCUACAGCAUCAAGGACAGAGCUCAGAAAAACAGUGAAGACUGAAAAAAGUAGACUGCAGAAUAACAUUCAUAACUCAAUACCAUUUAUGAAAAGUCAAAACACAUACUCACAACAAUGCUCCAUACUUUGCAGGAAUAUAUGCGUCUUUAAGGACACGUAGCAAACAUAUGGGAGCAGGUGCUUCUGUGGAGGAGAUGGCUGGAGAGGGACGGUGGUGAAAGGGAGAGGAACUCUGGACACAGUCUGAGCAACGUGCUGCGCACCAACGAGCG